UAUUUUUUUACAUUUUCGCAAAGAGCUGAAUGUGACGUUUAAACUAACAGAGUUGUGAUUGUUUAUAUUACAGCAGAAAUUAUUUUGGUUCAGAAUAAAAGCAUAGAAAAACAAACACAUUUUUUAGGAAUGUUUGAUACAUGGAUCGAAAUUAUUCACAUUCAUAGAAAUGCAAAUGUAUAAACCUGCAAAUCUGCUGCUUGUGAUUUAAAUCAAGUUGAAUUUGAUCGCUUUUCGAAAUUUUUUGGAUCGCGAAAGUUCAGAUAGCUAUGUUCUCUCUUCGGACCGCACCCUUUGGAAUCCAGGUCCGAUGUCAAAUACAACUAUUGAUAUAAAUUGAAAAAUGAAGGGAGGUUUAGAAAAUCUGAAUCUGAUGAAGGGAGGCGUUAAAAACAGUUUUCGCCUGCAGCUCAAAUCACUCUUCGUCCGCCUCUGUGUACAGCGUAAAGGGUCCAAUGAAAAACAAUAAGAAAGGUGAGUACGAUCAGCCAAUCUACUUGUUUCGGGAAAAAACACGUUUGAAAGUACGUGGUCCCAUAAGCUUUUUUACUGGUUAGUGGAACAAAAUGCUUUGUGAGAUGAUAGUUUACGACAUCAAAUGUUCAAAAUUUUGAGUUGUGUCAUUAACCGACGAUAUAGUGGUAUAUUCACUUCUUCACAAUGCACUUCGUUUGGAGAUAAACACUCUGGCGAUACGCUACAGUUUUCAAGGAAUCAUUUGAAUUCUUGGAAAGCUGUGAAUUGACUUUUACUAUCUUCCAGCAAACUAUUUUACUACCGGAAACACCCGACUUUGCAGUCUUCAUGUUAAUUACGAGCGAGAUCUGUACGCGGCCGUAGUCACAGGAAGCUGAGGUCUUUACCGGGUGCGCUUGAAGCUUCCAAUGCCGAACUUGAGUGAAACAUACCAGCACGAGAGCAUGAAAAAGAGACUGCUGCUGCGGGACUACUGCUGCUGUUGGGACCACUGUUGCUGCUGGGACUAUUGCUACUGCUGCUGGGACUAUUGCUACUGCUGCUGGGACUGCUGCCGAAUUGUUGCCUCCAAGCAGUUCUGUGGAAACUCUAGGUACAACUAUUACUACAUGGUCCAACGAUCAACUGUAAAGCUCAGAAAUAUUCAAAGGGAUUGGUAAACUUGCUUCAGCUGGAGAACCUGGACUGAUUCGAAAAAUUAAGCGAUUGCGACAUCGAUCGGGCAAGCAAGGCUACACAAUCGGAACGCUGCAUUCAUACACAUAUCCUGUUGUUACCAGGAAAUGAUUUAUUUAAAGAACAAACAAAAUAAAA